rnacentral:rRNA from 1 species
GUAACGACUCUCGGCAACGGAUAUCUCGGCUCUCGCAUCGAUGAAGAACGUAGCGAAAUGCGAUACUUGGUGUGAAUUGCAGAAUCCCGCGAAUCAUCGAGUCUUUGAACGCAAGUUGCGCCCUAGGCCAUCCGGCUGAGGGCACGUCUGCCUGGGUGUCACGCAC